AGCCGUGGCUUUCGGAGCUAACGCGUUAAGUAGACCGCCUGGGGAGUACGGUCGCAAGAUUAAAACUCAAAUGAAUUGACGGGGGCCCGCACAAGCGGUGGAGCAUGUGGUUUAAUUCGAUGCAACGCGAAGAACCUUACCUACUCUUGACAUCCAGAGAACUUUCCAGAGAUGGAUUGGUGCCUUCGGGAACUCUGAGACAGGUGCUGCAUGGCUGUCGUCAGCUCGUGUUGUGAAAUGUUGGGUUAAGUCCCGCAACGAGCGCAACCCUUAUCCUUGUUUGCCAGCGAGUAAUGUCGGGAACUCCAGGGAGACUGCCGGUGAUAAACCGGAGGAAGGUGGGGACGACGUCAAGUCAUCAUGGCCCUUACGAGUAGGGCUACACACGUGCUACAAUGGCGCAUACAGAGGGCGGCCAACUUGCGAAAGUGAGCGAAUCCCAAAAAGUGCGUCGUAGUCCGGAUUGGAGUCUGCAACUCGACUCCAUGAAGUCGGAAUCGCUAGUAAUCGUGGAUCAGAAUGCCACGGUGAAUACGUUCCCGGGCCUUGUACACACCGCCCGUCACACCAUGGGAGUGGGCUGCAAAAGAAGUGGGUAGUUUAACCUUCGGGAGGACGCUCACCACUUUGUGGUUCAUGACUGGGGUGAAGUCGA
rnacentral:rRNA from 1 species